GAUGAACGCUGGCGGCGUGCCUAAUACAUGCGAGUCGAGCGAACAGACGAGGAGCUUGCUCCUCUGACGUUAGCGGCGGACGGGUGAGUAACACGUGGAUAACCUACCUAUAAGACUGGGAUAACUUCGGGAAACCGGAGCUAAUACCGGAUAAUAUAUUGAACCGCAUGGUUCAAUAGUGAAAGACGGUUUUGCUGUCACUUAUAGAUGGAUCCGCGCCGCAUUAGCUAGUUGGUAAGGUAACGGCUUACCAAGGCGACGAUGCGUAGCCGACCUGAGAGGGUGAUCGGCCACACUGGAACUGAGACACGGUCCAGACUCCUACGGGAGGCAGCAGUAGGGAAUCUUCCGCAAUGGGCGAAAGCCUGACGGAGCAACGCCGCGUGAGUGAUGAAGGUCUUCGGAUCGUAAAACUCUGUCAUUAGGGAAGAACAAAUGUGUAAGUAACUAUGCACGUCUUGACGGUACCUAAUCAGAAAGCCACGGCUAACUACGUG
rnacentral:rRNA from 1 species